UACGUAGGAGGCAAGCGUUGUUCGGAAUUACUGGGCGUAAAGCGCACGUAGGCGGCUUUGCAAGUCAGAGGUGAAAGCCCGGGGCUCAACCCCGGAAUUGCCUUUGAGACUGCAUCGCUAGAAUUGUGGAGAGGUAAGUGGAAUUCCGAGUGUAGAGGUGAAAUUCGUAGAUAUUCGGAAGAACACCAGUGGCGAAGGCGACUUACUGGACACAUAUUGACGCUGAGGUGCGAAAGCGUGGGGAGCAAACAGG
rnacentral:rRNA from 1 species